rnacentral:rRNA from 1 species
CCUACGGGUGGCAGCAGUGAGGAAUAUUGGUCAAUGGGCGCGAGCCUGAACCAGCCAAGUAGCGUGAAGGAUGACGGCCCUACGGGUUGUAAACCUCUUUUAUAAAGGAAUAAAGCGAGCCACGUGUGCCUUCUUGCACGUACCUUAUGAAUAAGCAUCGGCUAACUCCGUGCCAGCAGCCGCGGUAAUACGGAGGAUCCGAGCGUUAUCCGGAUUUAUUGGGUUUAAAGGGAGCGUAGAUGGGUUGUUAAGUCAGUUGUGAAAGUUCGCGGCUCAACCGUAGAAUUGCAGUUGAUACUGGCAGCCUUGAGUGCAGGUGAGGUAGGCGGAAUUCGUGGUGUAGCGGUGAAAUGCUUAGAUAUCACGAAGAACUCCGAUUGCGAAGGCAGCCUACUAGACUGCAACUGACGUUGAUGCUCGAAAGUGUGGGUAUCAAACAGGAUUAGAUACCCCUGUAGUC